CAUAUGCGUGUCAAGCUGUCAGGCGUUGCGUGUGUGGGGUUGUGGGACCUUUCGAGAGCCACUGACAUGGUUCUGACCAGUAAAAAAGUCGUGUCAUAGUCGAACCGCAUUGAAUGGCGGACCGUAGAGGGUGGGAGUCCCGUAGACGAAAUGGCGUGGCCUGGUGAAGGGGAUCCCAAGUAGCACGGGGCCCGAGAAAUCCCGUGUGAAUCUGGCAAGACCACUUGCUAAGCCUAAAUACUACCUAGUGACCGAUAGCGGACAAGUACCGUGAGGGAAAGGUGAAAAGUACCCCGGGAGGGGAGUGAAAUAGUACCUGAAACCGUGUGCCUACAAUCCGUCGGAGCCUCCCUAGCAGGGGUGACGGCGUGCCUUUUGAAGAAUGAGCCUGCGAGUUAGUGCUCGGUGGCGAGGUUAACCCGUGUGGGGAAGCCGUAGCGAAAGCGAGUCCGAACAGGGCGAUUCAGUCGCCGGGUCUAGACCCGAAGCGAAGUGAUCUAGCCAUGGGCAGGUUGAAGCGCCGGUAAGACGGCGUGGAGGACCGAACCCACUUAGGUUGAAAACUGAGGGGAUGACCUGUGGUUAGGGGUGAAAGGCCAAUCAAACUUCGUGAUAGCUGGUUCUCCCCGAAAUGCAUUUAGGUGCAGCGUCACGCGUUCCUUGCCGGAGGUAGAGCUACUGGAUGGCCGAUGGGCCUCACCAGGUUACUGACGUCAACCAAACUCCGAAUGCCGGUAAGCCAGAGCGUGGCAGUGAGACUGCGGGGGAUAAGCUUCGUAGUCGAGAGGGAAACAGCCCAGACCACCGGCUAAGGCCCCUAAGCGUGUGCUCAGUGGGAAAGGAUGUGGAGUUGCACAGACAACCAGGAGGUUGGCUUAGAAGCAGCCACCCUUGAAAGAGUGCGUAAUAGCUCACUGGUCAAGUGAUUCCGCGCCGACAAUGUAGCGGGGCUCAAGUACACCGCCGAAGCCGUGGCACUCACACUUUACCCAG
rnacentral:rRNA from 1 species